CUUAAGACGAUGAUUGGAACAGAAAGCAAUAAUAUACUUUUAGCGAGUUAGAAAUGGUGAAAGUCUAACAGUCUAUUUUAUUGUAAGAUCCUCCAAGAGUGCUAAUUUGAAUAAUCUAUUAAAAUUAGCCGGCUAAUUACCGUUAAUAAUUACUUGAGAGGAAUAAGAGCAAUGUUCAUUUCCUGAACUUGGGUGGUAUCACGAAUUCAUUUCGUCCCUUUU
rnacentral:ncRNA from 1 species